GACUCCUCGCAGCCAGCGAUGGAGGCGAGACCCCCUAGUAACAGAGGCGGUGGCUACUGCUGCGGCCACUGGGUUUCGGCCUCUUCCCAGCAGCGGCUCUAAGAAGCGCAGCGGAACUCGACCGGAUCCAACCCAGUUAGUUACUUCCUGUCUAGAGUUGUAGCUUCCACCUGCACCUUCUAGCCACCAUGGCAACCUCAUCUGAAGAAGUUUUGCUGAUUGUAAAGAAAGUGCGUCAAAAGAAGCAGGAUGGAGCUCUGUACCUCAUGGCAGAAAGAAUUGCUUGGGCACCUGAAGGCAAAGAUAGAUUUACAAUCAGCCAUAUGUAUGCAGAUAUUAAAUGUAAGUCAGCUAUACUAAGUUCUGAUGUAUUUGUAUGUCAUAGUUGCUAGUAAUUUUGUAAAAAGAUUAUAUAAAUCUUUAUUUUAUAUCAAAAAAUCAACCAUGUAGAAAUAAUUACAAAAUGGGGUCACUGAAUAUAUACUGUUUUAUAACCUGACCUUUUCACUUAAUAACAGAACAGGUACAGGUUUACAUAUAAUAUGUAAAUCUACCUGACAUAUAGAUC
rnacentral:sRNA from 1 species